UCCAUACCUGUUAGUCCGGUACGUCUAAGCUCCAAUCCUGACUUGAAAACACCUCCAAAAGCCAGUCACUUCACUGGUAAAGACCUGCUGAUCAGAAACAGCUCAGCCUGAGAGAAAAUGAAAGCCCAGGUUUUGUUCCUGUUCUUCCUUCUUGUGGUCGGAGUUCAGUCAAUGCCCACCGGUUCUCAUGGGGACUCGCCAGUUAUUCCAGAGGAUGUGGCCCUCGCAGAACUGAGAGGGGAACAGAGAGAAGUCAAACCAGGUCCACCUGAACCAUUUACUCAGAGUAUUCAUGACUCUUAGAAUUCAUUGAGCAUAAGAAAAUGGAAAAAAAGCGGAAAGAAAACAUUUAUCUUAACAUUUUUGCACCUAAUUUUCAGCAGAAGCACUAUGAAAGCAAACAUUUGUUGAGGUUCAGAUUGUAUCUGAAAAAGAUGUACAUGUUUCCUUUUAAGCUUAAUUUAUCACAGCUCUAACUUAUAAAGUACGCAAACAUUGUCAUAUGACAUGCUCCCAACCAAAUCACAUUGUGCUUCUUAAAAACCUAAUUAGAAAUAAAAAGUUAACCUGAAACCGCCUGCUUCUGAUUCAUAAAAGAGAAAUAGAGGACAGGAGCUUUCAAAUGCUCCAGAAAGAAUGAUUUGUAUUUUUUUUGUUUUUCGUUUUGUUAAAAGUAAACCCUAAAUCACUCUUAAGUCUGGAUUAUUUGAAUUUUAAAUUGUCUCAAAAAUAACAAAGAAAUAUAUUAAACAUUGCAUAGCCAAAUUAUACACACAAUGUAACACCUACCAACAUUAGAGAAUCCAGCUCACUAAAUUCUUUCAAAGAAAGACUUAAGACACAUUUUAUGAAUAAUUUAGUAUCUUUUGUCUUUUAAAUGAAUCACUGUUGUAAUCAUGUAUUCUUGUAAUUUUAUCACUGCUCCGGUUUUUAAUGGUUUCAUUACACAACGCUUCCAUAUUGCUCCUGUUUAUUGUAAAUUUAACAUAUUAACUGAUGUGUUUGAUGUCAUGUAAAGCACUUUCAGUUAUAAUUGUAUGUGUGAAAGGUGGCACAUGAAUAAAAUUUGAUCACUCA